GAUAAACGCUGGCGGCGUGCCUAACACAUGCAAGUCGAACGAAGUGGCGAACGGGUGAGUAACACGUGAGUAACCUGCCUUACACCAGGGGAUAGCCUCUGGUAACGAAGAAUAAUACCCUAUAGUGUAAGAUGGACUUGCGUCUGAUUAGGAAGUUGGUGAGAUAAAAGCCCACCAAGGCGACGAGCAGUAGCAGGCGUGGGAGAGGGUACGGCAAAAUUAGGAGUGAGACACGGCGCAAACUGUACGGGAGGCAGCAGUGGGGAAUGUUGCACAAUGAGGGAAACCCUAAUGCAGCGGGGCCGCGUGAUUUAGAAGGCGUUGAGGUAGUAAAAAUCUUUUUUAUGGGAGGCAUUACCAGAAGAAGAAGGUCCGGUUAAAUACGUGCCAGCAGCCGCGGUAAUAC
rnacentral:rRNA from 1 species